GUGCUCGUGUCAGCAGCACAUGUACUAAAAUUGGAACAAUACAGAGAAGAGUAGCAUGGUCCCUGUGCAAGGAUGACACGCAAAUUCAUGAAGCAUUCCAUAUUUUU
ensembl:snRNA U6 U6 spliceosomal RNA